rnacentral:rRNA from 1 species
GAUGAACGCUGCGGCGUGCCUAAUACAUGCAAGUCGAGCGAAUGGAUUAAGAGCUUGCUCUUAUGAAGUUAGCGGCGGACGGGUGAGUAACACGUGGGUAACCUGCCCAUAAGACUGGGAUAACUCCGGGAAACCGGGGCUAAUACCGGAUAACAUUUUGAACCGCAUGGUUCGAAAUUGAAAGGCGGCUUCGGCUGUCACUUAUGGAUGGACCCGCGUCGCAUUAGCUAGUUGGUGAGGUAACGGCUCACCAAGGCAACGAUGCGUAGCCGACCUGAGAGGGUGAUCUGCCACACUGGGACUGAGACACGGCCCAGACGCCUACGGGAGGCAGCAGUAGGGAAUCUUCCGCAAUGGACGAAAGUCUGACGGAGCAACGCCGCGUGAGUGAUGAAGGCUUUCGGGUCGUAAAACUCUGUUGUUAGGGAAGAACAAGUGCUAGUUGAAUAAGCUGACACCUUGACGGUACCUAACCAGAAAGCCACGGCUAACUACGUGCCAGCCGCCGCAGUAA